GGAGGAAGGAAAACAGCUCAUCUCUUGACAUGAGUGCGACAGAGGAUUCCAGUUCUUCUUGGCACCUCCAUGGCCUUCAAGUUGCUGCAUUCCUGCUUAUCUACCAGUUCAGCACUGUCUAUUUCUGGCAGACUACUUUAUCCCUUGACACAGGUCCAAAGGUGAUGGCAUCCUCAAGGUGUAACCCAGUAGUGUUGUCUAAUGCAGCUAGGUGUAUGACCAACACAAGGUUCACCAUUUCACUUGAGAAGCGUGUUCAGGAAGAGAGGAAGAGGAGGAAGUGGUGUUGA
rnacentral:lncRNA from 1 species